AAGAGGCAUUGAGAGACUCCCUCUCAAGUGGAUAGGGAGGGAGCACUAACUACCAUACUUAGUACUAGCAAUCAAAUUAUCCCUCAAAUGGAGACUCCCUCUCAAAUGGAUGAUGAUGGCACAAGAGAUGGACACGUGAAGCAAGGGAUGGAAUACUCGAGAAGCAUGGUUUAGAUACUCACGGGAAUGGUGACAUGGAUGUUACUGAUAGAUAUAGAGAGGUGCGUCCCGAGUUUGUGAACAAUCAAGGGCUCACAAACUAUUCAGAUAUAUGAAUUUAUCAAGAAGAUGAUCUUGACCAUAAACAAAUCUCUCGAUGAAAUGUCACUUGGAGGUGAGUUUCAGAGAAAUUUGGCAGGCUUAAGUGAAGAUACGAGUCUCGUUGCAAAAUGUACGGGCCUCAAGAAGAAAGAUGGACGCAAAGGAGGAAAGCGACAUAAGAGCUGUCUAGAGAAGAAUAAAA